UGACUUGUUUACGGUUACCCUCUGGUCUUGGU
rnacentral:piRNA from 1 species